GCAGAGCCGAGCCGCGGUGCGGGAGCGCGGCUCUGCGAGCGAUCGUAUCGAUUGAACGAGAUCUGUAGAUAUAGAUAUAGGGGAGUAGAGCAAGGCAGUAUCAUCUGCUGUUCUCAUGCCUUUUGGGGAACUGCUCCUUCUACAGGCUGAAAGCUCUGGGUGCAGCAGUACAUUUCUUCUACUCCAUGCUUGCACCUGUCUCCCACAGAAUGGUCUCUCCAAUCACCAUGGCUGUCUGGCACAACGACCAAGGGCAGAAUGAGGAGAGAAGUUAAUAAUCACUCUAAGCUGUCUCUGCACCAUAUUCUUAGGCUACUGGAGAUCUUUGGCAAGAAUUCAUCUUGAGACUGGCUCUGCAUUGCUCCAACUGAGCCCUGAUUCCUGAGGACUCAUUUGAACAACAACAGCCAUCGGCCAAGGCUUACCAGUCACGCUGUUCCGUCUGUUUUCUCCUGUUGCAUAUGCCAAAUCCUGAUGGAAGUGUCUUUACCCAGCCUGAGAAAUUCCUUACAUAAGGUAAAUUCUCCAGAGGACCUUUAUGCAUGAUUUACAGCAUCAUUAUGCUAUCAUGCAGCCAUAAAACCCAUAAAGGCCCAAGCACUGAAACCAAGGCUCACACAGAUGCAUGCUUUCCUCUAACUGCUGCUCCUGUGCCUCCAGAAAACGUGCAGCAGGAACUGCCUCUCCCUUCCUUUCCCUGCCUCUCCCUGCCUCCACAACCCAACUCCACACCCUGGCAGGUCACAGUGUGUUGCCAACCAGCUGCACAUUGCAUGUGAUGCCCCUGAGGGAGAAGAGGGCUGAAGAGCUCCUGGCAGAUGUGGGUGUACCUGCGAUAUGGCAAGGUGACAGAGGUUGCAUCCAAGUGCUCUUUCCUUAUCAUCCGAUGCUAGAAAGUUUUCUCCUGCCAGUAGAUAAACCACUGCACAGUCUCAGCUGUCAAAAAGAGAAGCAGCCUGAGAGUCUUGGCAACCGUGAAUUAAACGCGACUGCUCAGGUACUGUGUUAUGACAAGCAUAUUUCCAUCCAUUAUUUUCAGCUACCCAACAAGAAAUCAUUUCAGUAUCACUGGCUAACUCUAUAUACUCACUCAUUUGAAUAUAAUGACUUCAGUUUCAUUCGAAGACUUAAAAGUCCUCUGGGCAAAUUGGGUAUUUUUAAAAAAAAUCUUUGUGAAUUGAAAAAUUUAGUAGCCAUGGUUGAUUUCCCAUUUUGAUGGGUACAUUGCUUCCUUAGCUAUCUCUCAGGCAGAGUAUAUCACCUGAAGUGUGAAGUUCUAUAAGCACAAAUUAUUCCUGAUACUGAGAUGCCGUUUUUUUUUCUCACUAAUUAGUAAAGUUAAUUUGAUUUAAAUGGCAGUUCUGCUGAGGUACUGGUAUUUAUUCUGCUUUCAAUACAUGAACACUCUAAAAAUGUUUUCAAAAUAUUAAAUGAAGUUGUAAGUUUCCUGUGGUCAAGCAAAAAAUAAACCCCCACAAAUUAUUACUUGAGCAUAUUAUUCCCAAACAUUUUUGAGAGGGCUCCUUGGCUUUCUUUACAUGCUUUGAUUUUUUAGGACUAAUGACUUCUCUCAUGUGGCAGAAAAUUUCAAGUCUCAGCUAUGAAGACCCAAGAAAAACAUAAGCUUCUUUAUGAGAAACAUGUUAUCCUAAGACAAUCUUUUUCAGUCUGGUGUGCUUGCAGACUCCUCUGGGUCCCAGCACUCCUACUUUGGGGACUAGGAAGGGUAAGCAAAACCAGCAUGCCCACUGCCAAGAGGUUUUCAUUUGCUGCGCAGAGAUCCACAUCUUCAGUGAUAAAUCCUUAAGGGUCCACAAAUUGAAAAAUGUUGAAAAUCACCGCCCUAGGAAUUGUGCUCAUACCUUGGAGCUAUCUUUGCUAAUUGGGCAGAGCUGACAAGCAGGUCCAAUAUGGUGAAGAGAGAUCCCCAGAUUAUUAACAACAUGAUGGCAUCUGGAAGUUUUGUAGAGCAAUAGAGACACAGCUCUAAUCAAGCACUUUUUCAGCCUCUUGUAUAGCCCAUCUGUUACAGAUUUAGCAUAUUAUAUAUAAUGCCCUCAGCAACUGACUUUGAUGUAUGUUCAACUGUGAAACUUCUUUUGUAAGUAACAAAGAAAUUUUUGUUUAUUAUCUGCUAGGUCCUUAGAAUGGAAUCUCUGCAACAGUCACCAAAAUAAAUGAUCUAUGUUUUCAAUAUCUAUGAAAUAUUGGUAUCAGAUGGAAUUACUCUGUUAUCUGAAGAUCAUGGAGAUUUUUUUCUGGAUUUCACUAGAAUUCUAAUCUUGGCCAAACUCUGCAUAAGACAAAGGAGAUGUGUUAAACUUAGGGUACUGAGAUUUUAGAUGAAAUAUGGGAAGCAAUGUGGUGCAAACAUAACUAUGUUUCUAUUGAUACAGAAUGAUUUAUUGUAAAUAUUAGAACACAUUUUAUUGCAAAGUAUUGAAGAAGCCUGGUCAUUUUUAUUCCCCUUUGCUUGGUGCAGCACAACAUAAGUGUAAGGGAUGAACUGGAUGAAUUCCAAUUUGGGAAGUUACAUUUUGCUUAACCCUAAUUUCACCUGGCAGUGCCAAAAAAGAAGGAAAAAAAGCCUCCAGUCCUAAAUGU